UUUAUAUAUUUAUAUAUAUUUAUAUAUGAUUAGAUAACAGUAGAAGAUUAAGAAAACAUCAAUAAAUUAUUUUCUGAUUUGUUUACUUACAAUGAUAAAAGUGACAUUAUCAGGGAUGACUGCUUAGUUAAGCGUUUGAAAAGUAAAGUUAGAUUUCUAUUUAUAAAUUUCAAGACAUGAUUGAAUAUGAACAAUCAAAUCGUGGAAAUACUAAGAAAAUGUGGGUGAAUAUAUAACAUUGGAGUGAGAGAACACUUUUAUGGCAGAAUCUUUAAAGAUUGCUGAGUAUAUAAUGUUUUGACAUAAGUAAUUUAAAGGCAAAUAAUUAGAGCACAAAAGAUAGAAAAGGUAAUAAAUGAAGUCUUAAAUUCAUUCCAGUAAAAAAUAAUUUGUAUCCAGUAAAAAAAAAAAAAAAGCACUCCAAUAGGAAAUGGGUAAUAAAGAUGAAAAAAGGUAGUAUCCAGUAGUUAAAACUACCAUAUUCUUAAGAUGAUAUUUAGUGUUGGUGAAACUGUAGGGGAAUGUAAAACAGAAUAUAGCCUUUCCAGCAAGUAUCAGAUUUUCAAAAUGUGCACAGAUCAUUCACUGUCAUCCUCUUAUUCCUAGAAUACAAAUCAGACUAAUGAACAUGGCUUACAAAAUCCUGAAAGGUUGUGCUCUCGCCUCCUGUCAGUUUGAGCUCCUCCUUAAUUCCUGGUUUAGCUAGGCUGCUCUUCCAAUUCCUGCACCUUCCAGCCCCGGACUUUUUAAAUUGCUGUUCUUUUUGCUGCAAACACACACAGUUUCUUCCUUCUUUGCCUCACUAGCACUAAUGACUCAUCAGAUCUCAGCAUAAUUGCCAAUUCUUUGGGAGGCUUUUCCCUGGAAGCACAGUUUAUUACUUUGCCUUUAACACUGUUGCAGUUUACAUUUAUUUCCUUGUUUCUCUCACCAUAUAGAAGGGAUGAAGUUGGGGAGAACCUGGUAUUUAGUUCAGUCCUGGAUGAGUGCCAGCAGAAGUUUGAAAGGAUGUCAUGCAUGUGUGAGAUUUAGCUUUCCAGAUAUUCAUUGCAUUGUUGGUUACUAGGAAAAAAAUCAGAAUUAGCAGAUGUUCAGCAGAGUGAGCUAUGGCCACAUUUGAACACUGUUUGGGUCCAUGAUUAGGGAUGGCUUAUUUCAAGACUGAUGUAAUUAUUGCAUCCAGAAGAAAGGUCUGGAUUUUAACCUGGGAGCUAAAUAGAUAAACUAUCAAAGCUGGCAGAAAUGCCCCAUGGGUCAGAGCCUAAAGCCAGGUACAGGGUGGGGAGAGGAUGCAGAGUUAAUUGUGAGACUGAUCAGUUUCAUUUCUGUUGGAAGUUGGAGAGAAGAUAAUUGGAGCUGUAGAUCUCACUGGGGGUGGGCAGCAUUGUGGGGACACCCCUCUGGAGGAAAUGAGCAAGUCCCUGCCUCCUAGCAGCAGGGUGGGGCCUAAGGAGAAAGGUCCUGGUUAUAAACUCCUGUGAAGGGAUGUCACAGGUUCUAAGAACACUGAAAUGCGUGAGCCACUGUUAUUUUUCCUACAUUGUUAAUUCCCUUCUGUUAGCCUCACAUUCAUUAAGUCUUUGUCAAGAACUACAGCCCAAUGUGAGCUGUGUUUUGGAUGAUUCAGGGAGGGACUGUGUCCAUACUGGGGCCAGAUGGUACCUAGGUGGCUGGGGUAAUCCAAACACUGGUCUCAAGGCCAGAUUGUGACUAGUAACAACCAGGAUAUAUGUUUCUGGAAUAUAAACACUUCUAGGACUUCUUACAUUAUUAUACAUUACCAUAAAGACUAGACCUACAGUGAGAGGGUCAGAUUUAUGUUAGAUAGGUAAAAGAAAAGGGUGAUCUGGAGGGCUGGAGAAUUGGAGACAUUCACAUCAUACUUUGGUGACAUAAUUAGAUGCCACAGCUCACCAGUAUUGUAACUAUUUUCCUUGGCUCUUUCUACCAUCGCUAUUGAAAUUAGGCUUUUCAAAUUAGUGGCAGGAAAGGCCAUAUUUGGAGCUUCAAAUACACAGUCCCAGUGGCAGUUCUUGCCUCUGUGUUUUUUUGUUGUUGUUGUUUGCUUGUUUGUUUUGAGACGGAGUCUCACUCUAUCGCCCAGGCUGGAGUGCAGUGGCACUAUUUCGGCUCACUGCAACCUCUGCCUCAGCCUCCCAAGUAGCUGGGAUUACAAGCGCCUGCCAACACGCCCAGCUAAUUUUUGUAUUUUUAAUAGAGAUGGGGUUUCACCAUUUUGGCCAGGCUGGUCCUGAACUCCUGACCUCCUGAUCCACCUGCCUCGGCCUCCCAAAGUGCUGGGAUUACAGGCGUGAGCCACUGCGUCCGGCCUUGCCUCACCGUUAAAAGACUACAAUAUGACGUGAUACAUCAGCUUUUUCGAAGUCCAGUGUACGUCAGACCCUGAGGCCUGCAGUAUCUGGAAUGGUGUUGCUGGAUGUGCAAAACUGCCAGGCUCUGGCUUGUGGUGUUCUCAUCUACCAGAUCAUUCCUGGGAGGCCCAAUUUGGCCAGCUGGCUCACCUCUGCCGGUGGUAUUGCUAGCAUUGCACAUUGGAACUGCAGCUUGGGAAAGUGAUAGAAACCAAACACAUGGUGGGUACAAAGCAAGUUUGUUGUAUUUUAUCCACAUUAGUAUUUUGGAUGUUUCAAUAUUUAAACAUUUCAAAAAGCAAAAUCAAUGAUAAUACUUCUUGAAUGUGUUGUGAACAAUGCAAGCCUUUUAUUAAAAAUUAUGGAAUAUUCGAAAGAAAUGUUUUUCUUACAAGAGAGCAGAGAAUAAUUACUCAGGGUUCCUGUGUCAAAGCCUCUAGGGCCCCUUUACUGUCCAGAAUUCUUAGUAAGUGGAAAACCUUUCCCAAGCACAAUGAAGUCUCAACCCUGAUACGGGCAGGACAGCAAAAGACCUGUCUCCUCUUUCCAGAGCAAACCCCAGUGGUUGCACCUGUCCUCCCAUUACACUUUGGGGAUAAACCCUGGAGGCCAUAGUGUAGGGGACCAGUUUCAUGGGUCUUGUUGCCAAAGCUUACUUUUUUGAUCCUACUGCUAAAUUCUGACCCUUCCUCCAAUUGAUCUGCUUUCCAAAAAGAGCAUACCAACACCUGCACAAACCAUUUGAUGUGGUGCAGUAAGCUGUUUCAUCCAAGUGUUCCAAAGCCAUAGGAUGAGCAAGGGGGAAAAACUUAGACCUGUAUAGGAUCUUCCCCCAGGUAGUUACUCUUUCACAGGGGGUGCAUGGGAGACAGGCUGCUGUUGUGCCAUCCUUUCCAUUACAUAAUGAUAACAACUGUUACUUGGAAUGCUUUAAUGCUUGAUGUUAUUUAUGUUUAAAUAUUUGCUGUAUUCCUGGCUCUGUGCUAAAUGCUAUGCCUGCAUCUUAAAAAAUCCUUAAAAUAACUCAAGGUAGGUACCAUUGUUGCUUCCAUUCUCCAGAUGGGACACUAAGACUUUAAGAAGUUAAAUAGCUCACCUGAAAACACACAGCUAGUAAGUAACACAAUGGAGACUUGAACCCAAGUCUAUUCUACUCUAGACCAUGGACUCCAAGAUUAAUUAAUUAUGCAAAUAAGGAAUGUGGAGAGUUCAGCCUUGAGCAAAGGGAGAUUAGCUUGUUUUGCACCAACUCUUCUGCUGAGGAAAGGACAAAAGCCAGAAUAUACAUACCUAUUCAGGGAUCAGAGGGCUGUUGAGAAAGCAAGGGCUAAUAUUCGAGAGACCUACAUUUGAUACUGUUCGUUUCCCCCUCAAGGGACUUGCUAAUUCAAGGGCAGGGGCUGAGAAACUGAACAGAAUUUGUAGAAGACUAAUGCAGACCAAAAAUUAGAGUUGGGGUCCAAGUAGAAGCAGCCCUGGAAAACACCCCAGACUUUCUCGUGGGACCCCAAAGAGCUACUCUUUGAUUAAAGGUGAAUUGGUUAUGGGCCUGUCCUCACAAGGACUGAAGCCCAGCCUCAGAUCUAGUGGAUAGCCAGAAGCAAAAACAAAGCCCCUCUGAAGGAGGACAUGGUCUAAUUUCUCAAAUUUUCUCUAUUAAUUGUUUUCAAAGUCUGCUUAAGAAAUAGGAAUGCAAAAACACAAGAUUCGACCAACAAUGAGAAAGUGAACAAUAGAAACAGACCUCCAGGAAAUUCACGUAGUUAACAUUAUCUGACCGGUGUCUUACAAUAACUAUGAUUAAAAUGUUCAUGAAUUAAAUGACCAAAUGGAACAACUUCAGGAGAGAACUGGACACUAUGUUUAAAAUUCUAGAAUUGAAAAAUAAUAUAACAAUUUAAGAAAUCAGUAGAUGGCUCUGAUAGACACAACUUAAGAGAUAGGUAAUGAAAUGAAAGAUAAGAAAAUAUCCAGACUGGUGCUGGGGGUAAAUAGGAAGACAACUAUUCGAAGAGUUAAUGGUUAAGGUUGUUCCCAAAUUAAUGAAAGACAUUAAGCCACAUAAAUAAGAAAUGCUGUUGACCUCUAAGCAGGAUAAGUUACAAUGAAAGUUAUACUUAAUUACUUCAUAGUAAAACUACUGGAAAACAAAGACUAAUUUUAAAAGUAGCCAGAGGAAAAAUAUAUAUUACUUUCAAAGGAGCAACAGCAAGCCUUGAGAGGGAAUUUUCAGCAGAAGUAAUGAUAGUGGAAAAUGGAAUGGUGUUUUCAAAGAGCUUCAAGAAAAUAAUAGUCAACCUAGAAGACUAUGAGGCAAAAAUAUCCUUCCAAAGACACGUCCAGACAAAGGAAAAUAGAAUUUGCCACCAAUGAAAAGUACCAAAAGUAUGAAAGGAAAGUACUAAAGGGUGUUGUUGGAGCAGAAGGAAAAUGAUCACUGACCACAGCUGGAGGUGCAGAAAGGCAUUGAAAGGCAAUGGAAAGGGUAAGUAUGUGUAUAAAACUAAAUAAAUAUUGAAUGUGUGAAACAACUUUUUACUUUCUGGGGUCUUAAAUAUAUAAAGAACUAAAAUACAUCACCAAGAGAAGCACGUUAAGUGUGGAGGGAGGUAAAUGUAGGGGUCCCCAACAUUUCUGGCACCAGAGACCAGUUUUGUGGAAGAUAAUUUUUUCCCAGACAGUGGGUGGAGGGGUGGAGGGAUUGGGAGCAUGGUGUUGGGAUGACACUGUCCCACCUUAAAUCAUCAGGCAUUAGAUUCUCAUAAGGAGUGCACAACCUAGAUCCCUCACAUGCACAGUUCACAAUAGGGUUAGCGCUCCUAUGAGAAUCUAAUGCUGCUGUUGGUCUGACAGGAGGUGGAGCUCAGGCGGUAAUGCUUGCUGGCUUGCCACCCAUCUCUUGCUGUGCAGCCCAGUUCCUGACAGGCCACUGACCAGUACUGGUUCACAGCCUGGGGACUGUGGACCCCUGGGUAAAUGGAAUUAAAGUAUUCUGAAGUCCUUGAAUUGUCUUGAAAGUGAAAAUGGUGGAGGCACUGAUUUAUAUUAGAAAUUAAUAAAUCAGGGGUACAUGUUUCAGUUUCUACGGUAUUUUGUAAAAGAAUAAGAGUAUGUAAAACUAACAAGAUAACAGAAGGAGAAUAUGAAAUAAAAUAAUCCAAAGGAAGGCAAAAAGAAAAAAAGGCGCAUAGAACAGAUGGGAACAAAUAGAAAACAAACACCCACAUGCAUCAAUCUCUACAUCAAGCAUAUGUGGACUAAAUAUUCCAAUUCAAAGGCAAUAUUAUUAUCACCCUGGAUAAAGAACAAAUAUAAUUCUCUGAGACUUAAAAACAACAUACCUUAAACAAGGAUACAGAAAGAUGGAAAGUAAAAGGAUGGAAAAAGGACUAUCAUGCAAGUAUUAACCAAAAGGAAGCUGGUGUAUUUAGUACACGAAGUGAACUUUCAGGUAUUACCAGAGUAUGAAGGAUAUUUCAUAAUGAUAAAGGGCUUGCUUUACCAGUACUAUACCGAUGGCUGAGGUAUUUGGGCUGUCUGUGAGGCUCAGAUGGGCUGCCUGUGGCCCUGCCUCACCUUGGAGAUGGCCCAGGAAGCUAACUGAGACUUGGAGUUGGUCGAAGAGGAGCCAGACUCUAAAUAUUUGAAGAUUGUGUGCGUAUGUGUGUGUGUGUUUAGGGGAAAACAUGAGAGGUAGAGUACUAUUCAAAAGGACAAGAAGUGGAACAUUUUCUUUUAUAAAUCAAAUAAAUGGUGGCUCUGAGCCUUCCCCCACCUCCUGCCUUUUUUGGGUCCAGAUUGCUAAGAAAUGUUAUUAAUGAUAGCUCACACUUACGACAUUAUUGCCUUCUAAGUGCUUUGUAGGUAUUAAUUUAUUUAAUCCUCACAACAGCCUUAGGAGACAGGCAUCAUCACUACCAUCGCCAUUUUACAGAUGGAAAAACCAGCAACCAUCAGAGCUGGUAUUCAAAAUAAGCCAAUUCAGAUUCCGAGUCCCGGCUCCUAACCAUGGAGUGGCCUCAGGGUUUUAUAGUUUGUCCGGCUCUUUGGAUGAACAUCACACCUCAUGGAGGAGAGUCCCUUCCAUUUUAACGGCUCCAGGUUGUCAUGGAAAUCCUCUGUAUACAAGAGGGUAAGGAGGAGGAUGAGAAGCAAUACAUGCUUAUUGGGACUUUCUAUCAUCCCAGGACUUAUCCAGGUACAUUAUAACAAUGUUGAAUACAGUAUUAGUCCCAUUUUAACUAUGAGGAAAAUAAGGUUUGGACUGUCAGAGACAGAGCAAGACACAUUGGUAAGGGCAGACAAGGGAUUCAUCUGACUCCAAUGCCUCUUCCUUGGUAAACCAGACUGGCUUGUCACACCGUGAAAUUAGAGUCAACUUGUUAAAUCUUGACAGGUUGCUAAAUUAUUAAUUACACCCCCAGGAGCUGUGACUGGAGCAGCAGGGAUGCUAUGGCUGCACUGUACUAUUUUUAGCACUAGAUGGUGCUGUAACACUGCACAUCUCUUCCGCGGUGGCCCUUGGAGGAAGGUUACUUCAGGGCUUGGAGACCCUGGAGGGAAGGAUGCUACCUUACCAGAGCGUGAAAAAAACAUGGAAGACAGGAUACUCUCGGGCCCUGAGAAAGCUGGAGACUGUAGCCACCAGGUGGCUCCAGGAUGUGCAGUACUGGCGUCUGGGUUUUGCUCACACAACCGUGAACUCCUGGUCCCACCGAGCCCUAGCGAGUGGAUUGGAGCACACACCCACCCACCUCCUCAGAGCUCCUACGAGUAGAGGAGGUACCUAGGCACGUGGGAGCUUGGCGCCUUGUUAGGUGCUCAGGAUACUGGUUGUCCGGAAUCCCAGUGAGGUGCAGUCCCGCCCUUGUGCCACUUUCCCAUGCGCUUCCUGCCCCUCUGGGGGCUGCAGAGGCUGCAGAGUUGUCCAGCUUGAGAAACUGUAUCAAGGUUGCUCCCUGACGGCCUGGCAACUCGCUGAAGAGCUGCCUUCAGUUCAGAACAGUUUUAGGGAGAUUGUCAUAAACUCAAUGAGUUUAAAUGAUUUUACACUGACUCUUCAAAAAUGUCAAGGUCAUGAAAGACAAAGGCCGAGGAACUGCCCCAGACUGGAGGAGGCGGGAGACAUGGCAGCUGUGAAUGCACCGUGGGUCCUGAACCAGAAAAAGGAGCUCAGUGGGACGAUUGGUAACUUUUUGAUGCAAUCUGUCGAUUUUGCAUAUAGAAGACGGUAAUUUUAAAAACAGUGAAAGAAGAAAUGUAUCUGAGAAUUCAAUCAGUCAAUAGACUUUAGACAUCUGAAAAGAAAACACAAGAGGUUCGGUUGGUGCAAUGUUCCUUUCUUCCCAGGACUUUCUGGUCUUCAAGGCUUUCUCAUGAGACAGAAGACUGAUGGAUGUAGAAGUUUCUAAGAGGACAGACGGAGCCUUGCUCUGUUGCCCAGGCUGGAAUGCAGUGGC
rnacentral:lncRNA from 1 species